rnacentral:lncRNA from 1 species
UUUCUUUCUCGGUCAAUUUAUUAUUAUAAAAAUAUAAAGUCGUACAAAAAACGCUAAUGUACGACAUGGAUUUCUCAUGAAGCAGAAGUUGGUGGCCUGUUCUACACAAUAAACAACACUAAAUCGUUCCAAAAAAUGCAAGUUUAAUCUUUUGAUUUCCUAUUAAUAUAAUUCAUCCUUUCUGUUUUAGCGGUUCAGUUUCUGCCAGCCAAUUAUUCACAAUAUUCUUUGUUUAUCGCAUCACACUUUGCGUUUUCAGGUUUACUUUUCUCAUUUCUUCCUUUUUCUGCAUCUUUUGUCUUCUUCUGUUUCGUCCUUUCUGAUCGUGCUUAAUUAUUAUAAACUGCUUGCUUGUAGAUUUUGAUCAGUAUUCGAAAAACGAAACAAAAAAACUAUGUCGUCGAACAUAAUUCACGACGCCGAUGGAUCGCCUUCGCGAAUCGUAUUGUCGGAGCCUACUGGAUCAACUGCUGAGGUUUUCGAAAUUCUGUAUUCCUUUUUCGUACUAU